rnacentral:lncRNA from 1 species
UUGCCCUUCUUAAACUCCUCCCUCCUCUGAGGCCCCUUCCCCUUCCCCUUCCCCAGCCUCUAUGUCCCAUUAUUUGUAACGGAAUGUGGUCAAGGGACUGGCUGGAAUAGGGAACCCAGGCACCCCUGUAAAGAGGGAAGCCGUAAUGGGGGCUGAAGUGGUGUCUGGGCCUCGUCCUCAUUUGCUGUCCCUGGGCUGGGCAGGUGGAGACGGAUUCAGGGCCAGGACCUAGUUAAGCUGUCGGAUUAGACAUGGAGGCUCCUAAUCCCCUCACUGACCUUUAUGAGUGGCCCAGGCCCUGCCCUCCCCAGUGGAAACCCAGGCUGGGCUGCCCUGCUCCCAUACUCCUUUCAAACGAAACCCCCUCCCUGCCCCUUCACUUCCAACUUAACAUCCUUCCCCAACCCUGCGUUUCCAUUGCCCCCAUCCCUACCUACCCCAGACACCCUGAGCUGAGAGAGCAGCCAGCUAAUUAAUCCCAUCCGGUUAUUACAUGGGGAUUCUGAGGGAUAAAGGGAGAUGGAGAAGCUGGAGGGGGCAUUUGGGUUGAUGCAGCACUUGUGAAGGCUGAAUGGCAAUGACAGUGGCUGCCCUCGGUCCAGAACACGGGGUGGGAACACGUCCUCCUCACUGUCACUGGCUCCCUCUGCAGUUGGCUCCCAGCCUGCGGGGCACUUAGACACCCGAGUUCAGAGCCAGCCUCCAAGAGUAUCUUACAUCCCAGCGUCUCCUGGAAGGCCGUAUGAUCCAGCACUGGGGAGAGGAGGGAAAUCCCCAGGACUCGAAUGCCCAUCCCACCCUUGGUGUAGUGAGGACUCAUCCUGCUGGAAAGGCCCCUGAAGAACUUCAAGUUCCAAUAUCCCGUUUUUACAGAUGGGGAAACUGACAUGAAGAGGAGUCCAAAGUGACACAGUCAGGCCAGAAAUGUUGCUUCUGAAGUCCUGAGUCCACCUCCUAGCACUGCCAAGCAGUCCACCUGGAGGUGAUGAGAACUUCCAGGCUUUGGUAAUGGACAACUCUGUAUCCCUGGAGCCUUCAUUCCUUUUGGCAUUACAGAACCACAAGAAGUCAUCUAGAAUCAUUGAGAUUCUCAACUCCAUUGGGCAAACUGGAACCAGCAAAAUCUCAGAUAUCUAGAAUUGCCACUGCUUCCUUGACUCUGUGAUCAGUCUACAGCCACAGAAUCCUGAUUCCCUUUGGACAUUCUAGAAUGGCACUUUAAAAAAAAACAACCCACCCAGUGGAUCCUUUCAAAGCACUGCUUAUUCUCUUGGCUGGGUGCUCUACAGCCAGAAGUUGGAGUUAUCUAAUAUCAAGAACUCUUAAUCUGUCACUUCAGUCUUUCUAAACCCACAGACUAACAAUGUUUUGUGCAUUCUA